GAAGAUCCCCUGGAGGAGGGCUUGCCAAAGCACUCCAGUCUCUUGCCUGGAGAAUCCCAUGGACAGAGGAGCCUGGUGGGCUACAGUCCAUGGGGUCACAAAGAGUCCGACAUAUUGAAUGACUUAGCACACCUCCUAGGGUUAAUUAUUUAUUCUCUGCAGAAGGUGAAGCUCCAAUACUUUGGCCACCUGAUGCAAAGAGCCGUCUCAUUAGAAAAGACCCUGAUGCUGGGAAAGGCUGAAGGCAGGA